AAAUAUGUGAAGUUUCUGCACCAUACAGGCAAUAAACAAUUUUCGCGCGUUGAAGAAAAAUUGACGGUUGAAUUCGGACGUCCACCAACUAUCAUAGAGAGGUUCAGAAAGACUCAAACUCCGAGACCCACCAAAGACAACCCGAUCCCGACGUUGAACCCAUUAUAACAAGAGAAGAUCGCGGAGAUGGAGCAAAUAAUUAGUGAAAAACCCGAUAUCUCCGACUUUGAGGUGACCGAGAAAGCCUUAGGGCCCCAACGACACGAAUAGGUGAUGGGUAUGGAGUCAGGCGUCCGGCCAUUGCGCUUUCACGGUGAUUGGUGGAGGAGCGGCAAUUCUCAACAUGAGGGUCGUCAUUAAGAGAAGAGAACCAACAACUUCGGGCGCGGGUCAAUGAAUUGGAAGAGAUAGUUCAAAGUAAUAACGAAAGAACGCAACAAC